UACGUAGGGUGCGAGCGUUAAUCGGAAUUACUGGGCGUAAAGCGUGCGCAGGCGGUUCGCUGUGUCCUGUGUGGAAGCCCCGGGCUUAACCUGGGAAUGGCAUGGGAAACUGGCGGGCUGGAGUGUGGCAGAGGGGGGUGGAAUUCCGCGUGUAGCAGUGAAAUGCGUAGAGAUGCGGAGGAACACCGAUGGCGAAGGCAGCCCCCUGGGCUAACACUGACGCUCAGGCACGAAAGCGUGGGGAGCAAACAGG
rnacentral:rRNA from 1 species